CCUACGGGCGGCAGCAGUGGGGAAUAUUGCACAAUGGGGGGAACACUGAUGCAGCGACGCCGCGUGAGUGAAGAAGUAUUUCGGUAUGUAAAGCCCUGUCAGCAGGGGAGAAAAUGCCGGUACCUGAAGAAGAAGCCCCGGCUAACUACGUGCCAGCAGCGGCGGUAAUACGUAGGGGGCAAGCGUUAUCCGGAUUUACUGGGUGUAAAGGGGGCGCAGACGGCGAUGCAAGCCAGGAGUGAAAGCCCGGGGCCCAACCCCGGGACUGCGCUUGGAACUGCGUGGCUGGAGUGCAGGAGGGGCAGGCGGAAUUCGUGGUGUAGCGGUGAAAUGCGGAGAUAUCAGGAGGAACACCGGUGGCGAAGGCGGCCUGCUGGACUGCAACUGACGUUGAGGCCCGAAAGCGUGGGGAGCAAACAGGAUUAGAUACCCCUGUAGUC
rnacentral:rRNA from 1 species